rnacentral:rRNA from 1 species
UUACCGCUUUGACAUUCGGGAGACUAGUUCGCUAACAGGUGCUGCAUGGCUGUCGUCAGCUCGUGUCGUGAGAUGUUGGGUUAAGUCCCGCAACGAGCGCAACCCCGUCUUAGUUGCCAUCAUAUGGGACUCUAAGAAACUGCCGGUGAUAACCGGAGGAAGGUGGGGAUGACGUCAAGUCCUCAUGGCCCUUACAGCGGGCUACACACGUGCUACAAUGGGUGACAUGGGGCACUGCGAGGGUAGCAAUCUCCAAAACGUCUCAGUUCGGAUUGUUCUCUGCAACUCGAGAGCAUGAAGGCGGAAUCGCUAGUAAUCGCGAUCAGCAUGCGCGGUGAAUACGUUCCCAGGCCUUGUACACACCGCCCGUCACACCAUGGGAUUUGGUUACCGAA